GCAGACACAUUCCAGCCAAUCAGCAGCAGACCCUCCCUCCCAGACCCUCUCACCUCCUGGACAGCUCACUAAGAAUGCAGCUUCACAAUGAAUAUAAAAUGGAUGCUGUCCAGGAGGUGGGAGGGUCUUGGAGGGAGGGUCUGCUGCUGAUUGGCUGGAAUGUGUCUG
rnacentral:miRNA from 1 species